CAAUUUUACCUUCCAUUAGCUUCAUUAAUUCUUAUUGAAUCAGAUUGGUCUGCUGAAUCAAGUUGGCAAGCUCAUCAGUCCUCUCCUCAUAUGGCCUGGGUGCAGUAACUGUCUUUGUGACAGAGGCAUCCUCUGUAUAUUGAUUUGCCAUUAGCAGUAAAUUUGCCCCUUCUCUGCUUAUUCUUAUUUGGAUACCCAAUCAAUUUGAAGCAUGACUCUUUGGUAUGUCCAAUGGCUUUGCUAGAAUCCUUCUUCUUAAUUGGAGGCUUAUCACCAGACCUUGUCCCUUCCUUCUUAAUUGAACGAAACCAUGGUAGCAAUUAAAGCUCCACGUGGCACUACUUUGGAAGUCUCAGAUCCUGAUGAGGUAAUCCCAUAAGCAGACGCCGGUCGAUCAAGUACAAAAUGCAUAAUUUUUGUGCAUGCAUACUCAAUAUGGGCUAUUAACUAUCCCCAAAGGAGAUACAGGAUAGUCCUUAGAAGUACAAUGGGUCCCAUAGAUGUUUAUCUUGUCAGGCACUGUUCCUUCUUAUGCGUUUUAUAUGACUGGUGAGACAAACUUCACAUUAGUGGAAUGGUUUAUCCAUUGAAUUUUUUGAGACUUUUAAAUAACUAUUCUGAUCCCUCUCCCCGUUGCCCCUUCACAUUAAUUAAUUAAUCUGCCAUUAUUUUGAAUGUUACCUAUUGGUGGGAUACAAAAUUCAUGUAAAACCUGCCUUCAGUUAUGUAUAAGCUCUUUAUCAGUUUGUUGGUCUCAGUCUUUGAUGGUUUGGAAAAUUAGGAACAACUGCUCUUGCGGAAAGAAUUUCUAAUUCGGUACAAACAAUUCAAUUGUUCAAAAGAUACUAGAUUGCAUAUAUAAACUUGCAAAAUUCGCUUUAAAGUGCCUAAUGAUUGACCUUGAAUUAGUUUAUCUAAUAUAGCUGUGAUGAAUUAUUUGCCAGUGGUCUGUUCUUGCUUCAAUGAAUCAUCUCUAAUGUAUUUUUUAUUUAUUCUAGUGCUAUAGGGUAGUGUUGACAGUUGAUGCACACACCCAUAUGUGCCAUAUGGUAGUGUUGUAAAAUGCAUCUGUCAUCACAAAUAAUCUUUAGAUUGCAAAGGAGCUAAGAAAUAAUGUCACUUUAGUCAUAAGGGCAACAUUAGUAGUUUGUGCAUAAUUCAAAACUGUUGUUUCAGCACUCCUCAAGGCUGCAAGAAAGAUUAAUUUUAGAGAUAUUUGAAGCCAAAUAGCCUGCAACUGAAAUGUAUAAUGUGUUUAGACUGUCUAUUCCAUGAGUUUAAAAAAUUUUAGUUGAAUUUCUUUAUCUGCUUGAUUGACAAACUCUGAUUUUCACUUUCACUUUUUUUUUUUGUGCAUUAUAAAUUCUUGGAAUAAUUGGAAAAUGAUCUUUGUCAAUGACCAUCUUGGACUGGUCAAGAUUGGUGAUCUAGGCCUUGCAGCAAUCAUACAGGGUUCUCAAUCAGCACAUAAUGUCAUAGUAGCAUUUGUUAGGCACCCUAGAAUUCAUGGCACCAGAAUUAUACGAAUGGGAUUACAAUAAGCUUGUUGAUAUUUACUCAAUUUGGUAGGUGUGUUUUAGAGAUGCUUACAUCUGAAUACCUUUAUGGUGAAUGUGUUAACCCGGCACAAAUUUACAAGAAAGCGACUUCGGUAAAUCAUGAUGCCAAGAUUUAUAAUUAUUAUCAAGCUAGAGUAUGACAUUCAUACCAUUUCAGUUAUGCAGGGAAAGCUUUCUGCUGCAUUCUAUCAGAUUCAGGACUUAAAGAAGAGCGGCUUAUUGAUGCCUAUCAUACAUUCAACUACCAAGAAGAUGAUGGGACUAAUCAUCCUUUCAAUUCUUUCUCCUUUUGUUCAUUAUCUCAAGCAUCCAUUUACCCAUUCAAUUUCUGAGAAUUUGAUGUUUAAUCCAUUUAUUGUGGAAUGUGGAAUUAGAAAACCAUCAAAUAUAUGUAUAUAAAUUAUUUUUCUCAAUAGUAUAGAGAAUUUAAUAUUUUCAUAUUAAAUUCUUGACAUUAAUUUGUACAAGGUCAUUACAAUUUAUAAUAUUAAG